UACGUAGGGUGCAAGCGUUAAUCGGAAUUACUGGGCGUAAAGCGUGCGCAGGCGGUUUGCUAAGUCAGAUGUGAAAUCCCCGGGCUUAACCUGGGAACUGCAUUUGUGACUGGCGGGCUAGAGUAUGGCAGGGGGGGGUAGAAUUCCACGUGUAGCAGUGAAAUGCGUAGAGAUGUGGAGGAAUACCGAUGGCGAAGGCAGCCCCCUGGGCCAAUACUGACGCUCAUGCACGAAAGCGUGGGGAGCAAACAGG
rnacentral:rRNA from 1 species